rnacentral:lncRNA from 1 species
CUAAAAAGCUUCAUGGGCUUUUGAUGUAUUAGAUUAUUUUCAAAUUAAAUUCCCCUCAAUUAGACAAAAAGUAUACCCACAUUUCUUCUAAAGAUAAGCUUAAAAACAUAUCUUUAAAAGGUAGAUUUUAAAUUAUCUUUCUGAUAUAAUAAAAGUAAUUGAUCUAAUCAGAUUUUAUCUUGGGUCUGUUUUUUUAGAUCAGCUUUAUGGAAGUAUAAUUUGCAUACAAUAAAAUGCACUUCCUUUUUGCCUGUUAAUGGACUGCGCAUUGCUGCAGCUGAAGGAAACCCUCAGGGAGAGAUAAGAAACUUCAGUUUGAGAAAAGGGAAAUUUUCCUGUUGGCUUCUCCUUUGCCCUGGUCCCAGAGUUCAGGCCAGGUAUAGGAAAAACAAAGUCACACACCUGCCUUCCCAUCCAGAUCUGCCAGUGUAAUGCAAACUAAUACACUAAGCCAGUUCCAGAGCAGGUUGUGAUAGUUCCCCAGAGGGUGAUUAAGAAAAAGAUAAUUGGAUGUUGCAUGGACUUGUUUCUCUCUGCUCCUCCUGGCCAGGUACAGUUACAAACUGAAAAUUAUACAAUAGGCAAUGAAUGGAGAACUCUAAAAGAUGUAAAGAGGAAGGCAAACUAGUUAGGGACCACUGGAUUUGAGGAACACAGAAAUAUGGCAUCAUAUUCAUUGCCCACCCAGCAGACCCAGCUCAAUGAGAGUAACCUCAUUUCAGCAUUCAUGACCCUUAGCCUUACAACAGAAGAUGGCCCAGAGAGACUGAUUCCUCUCCAAAUCAAACCACCACCAACAUCAGGCAAGUCUAACAGCACUGACAAGGUGGUGGAUGGAGAGCCCUGCUGACAGUAGCUGACAGAGGAGUACAUUCCUUGUUCUGAGAUUACCUCCUCCACCACGAGAUGCCAGGUGGCCAUGUGGCACUAGCAAAGGCGAUCCUGUCAAAACAAGCACCUGACCUAGGAGUGCUCUCCAUCCCUCAGAAGCAGACAAGUUCCGCCACUCACUACAAGUUCCAGGCCCCAAAAGGGCUCUCCUUUCUGACUGGGCUGAGAAUCCUCUCCCCAGCAAGAGACACUGUGGCAGUGGCCUGGGGAAGGAAGUACACCGCUCCUGGGAAGGCCCCAGCCAAUCUAGUCUUUUGAAAUCCCAUCUGUCCCCCCAUUUUCACCAGGAAGCCCCUGAAAUACCAGAUAAAUCAAGCAGACCAAAAUAAUACUGCAAGUGUUCUGAAAUUAAACUUCCUUUGGAACCACAGACCAGGCAAUUAGACUAAUAUUUGCAUGUUAAACAUAAACAGGGUGACUACCUGCCAAAAUAAAAGAUUUAAAAGUGCCUCAAAAUCUCCUAACAUAAUAGCCAAAAGACUCACUCAUCAUACCAAGAAUAAGGAAAAUCACGAGUUGAAUGAGAAAAUAAAGUUAACUAAUGCCAACACUCAGAUGAGUGAAAUGUUGGGAUUAUCUGAUAGGAUUUUAUUUAUUUAUUUAUUUAUUUUUUUGCAUGCCUCCACCAUGCAGAGGUUCUCAGGCCAGGGAUCAAACCUGAGCCACUGUAGUGACCCAAGCUACAUCAGUGACAACACUGGAUCCUUAAUCCACUGAGCUACCAGGGAACUCCUUGAUAAGGAUUUUAGAGUGGUCACCAUAAAAAUGUUUCAAUAAGAAAUUACAAAUGAUCGUGAAACAAAUGAAAAAAAAAUAGGAAACCUCAAUAAAUAAAUAGAAAUUAUAUUUUAAAAAACACAUAGAGGAGGCCCUACCACAUUGCAGUGGGUUAAGAAUCCAACAGCAGCAGCUUGGGGUGGGUUUGAUUCUGGGCCCAGCACAAUAGGUUAAAUGAUCCAGCAUUGCUACUGCAGCUGGGGGCAGAGGUGCAACUCAGAUUCUAUACCAGGCCUGGGAACUUCCAUAUACCACAAAUGUGGACUUAAAAAAAAAAAAGAAAAAGGAAAUUAUAGAACUGAAAAAUACAACAGAAUUAAAACCUAGCUAGAUGGGCCAAUAGAGUAAAAGUGACAGGAUAAAAACCAUGAACAUGAAGACAGAUCCCCUAAUUUCUUCUAUAUGAACAAAAGAGAGAAAAAUCAACAAUGCCUCAGGGACCUCAGGGAAAAUAACUAGAGAUUCAAUGAUUUUGAUCAUUGGAGUCCAGAAGGAGAGGAGAUGAAUGAGGAUAGAAGAAGAUUUGAAAACAAUAAUAGCUGAAAACUUAGCAAAUUUGCCACUAGACAUGAAGCUACAGAUUUAAAAAGCUGAGUAAAACCCCCAUUAGAUAAACAAAAGAAAUUCACAUGAAGACACAGUAUAAUUAAACUUUUGAAAACUAAAUCAAAGAAAAAAUAUCAAAAGUAUCCAGAUAAAAAUGACAUAUUACCUGUAAGAGAACACCUAUUUGAAUGAUACUGGAUUUCUCACCUGAAAAUGUGAAGGUCAGAAGAGGUAGCACAACUGUUAACUGUAAAUUCCAUAUGCAGAAAAAUUACCCUUUAAGAGUAAAGGGAAAAUAAGUACAUUCUUAGACAAAGAAAGAUUAAAAAUUUUGCCGCUAAUGGACUCAUUCUUCAAGAUUGGCUAAUGGAAUACUGGGAAUGACCAAGACAGGGGAGUAGGAAGAACCUGAGCUCAUCUCCUCUCAUGGGCAUACAGAAAUUGCAAGUAUUUGCAGAGAACCAACCAUGAGAAUGACCCAAAAACUAGCAGAAAAACUCUUCUACAGCUGAAAAUACAAAGAAGGAACCACAAUGAGAUGGGCUGAAUGGAUGAAGUCAUAGUGUAAUCAAGACUCAUAAUCCCAAGUAAGUGACUCAAAAAUGGAAGGAUUUUUUCCCUCAAGGAUGAGGGGUUCAGGGCCCACUAUGGGCUCCCCAUCCUGUGGAUUCUGUAUCAGGAGGACAAGCCCCUAAAACAUUUGGCUCUGAAAGCAGUGGGGCUUGUGUUUGAGAGAGCUGGAGGGCCAUAGAAGACAGAGACUCUGUUCUUAAAGGACAUGCAAAAAAAAAAAAAAA